GAUCUCUUCCCUCCAAUGGAAUUCCUGCCAGAUCUCAUUCUGCAAUUGUGCUGUGGCUGCUGUACCAAGGUUACUCAGCAACUGUUGACCCUGGGAGGCCACUGUGGAAGCAGUACCCUGUGAUUUUCUUGCUGGUUCCGACUAGCACUGAUUCUGCCAGCCCCAGUGCAAUUCUCUGUAACCUCUUCUCACUUUGAUUCCUGUCCAAGCUACUGUUUUCUAAACUCCAGAACAUUUGUAAAGGAGUCUUUGGGAGCCUCUUUCCACAUUGUGACAUGUGAGGACACAACUAAAAGUCACCAUCUAUGAAGAGUGGAGACUCAGCAUACAUGGAGUCCCUGGGAGAAUAAAAGGCAUUCUUAUAAUCCAGGAGGUUGCAGAUUAUUUAGGAGUUUGUGAAAAGAACUAUGAUCAAAGACCAAGCACAAAAAUGGAAGAUGCUUUUAACACACAACGAUUCAAGAAAUUAUGACAAUAAUUUCUCUCAUAGGACCCAAGGGUAGAUACCAAAUAUACAUUUCAUUUUGGAUAACAACCUAUAAUGUGGAAUAACAAUGAAUUUGUUGGUUAAGUGAUGCAUUAUAAAAGUGACAUGUGGCAAGGCCCAAUUUUGUCACAGUUAAAAGUUACCAAUAGGGCCAGGGAUUUAACUCAGUGGCAUAGUGCGUGCCUGGUAAGCUUGAGGUCCUGAGUUCAAUUCCUGGUACAGAAAACAAUUACAGACAACCAAAUAGAG